rnacentral:rRNA from 1 species
UACGAAGGGGGCUAGCGUUGCUCGGAAUCACUGGGCGUAAAGGGCGCGUAGGCGGCCAUUCAAGUCGGAGGUGAAAGCCCAGGGCUCAACCCUGGAAUUGCCUUCGAUACUGUCUGGCUAGAGACCGGAAGAGGUAAGUGGAACUGCGAGUGUAGAGGUGAAAUUCGUAGAUAUCGAGAAGAACACCGGUGGCGAAGGCGGCUUGCUGGGCCUUACCUGACGCUGAGGAGCGAAAGCGUGGGGAGCGAACAGG